GAAGGACGGAGGAUUCAGACCCAAUUUAGCUAUUGUGUAGGACACUGGGAAUGUUUGGGCUGCUGCUGGACACACGGGGCUUGCUGCUGAAAGUUCUGUGUUCAGGGAGAAAUUUCCUAUGGGAGGAGUGAGGGACGUGAGGUGCUUGACAAGUAGCCUGAUUCAGGUGGAGCGGAAGUUAGGCAAGUUUGAGACAGCGCUGCUGGUGAUGAGGAGGAGGAGAUGUGUGUCUGUGCAUGUGUGUACGUGUGCGUGUGUGAGAGAGAGAUGGCGGGGAGUACCAGGGAGACAGACACCAUGAAUUGUCCCUUCCUGUCUUUAUGACACAAGGUCAGAGGCUGCCUCUAAACCAAGAUGGCGAACCUUUUAGAGCUUUUAAUGACACGCACGGCCAGCUGUGGCUCACGAGCCUGGGUGCCCACCAGGGCCCUGGGGCCGCAUCAGCACUGUGGGUAACAGGCCUCGGGCCUGUCAGUCAGUCGGUAUGAGACAGCUGGGCGAGUCUCAUUUGUGUGGUGACCAGCCGAGCACACUGAUAGCCAUUAGUUCUUUGGGCCCAAGGUCGUGAAAUAGUUACUAUUAUUCACACCUGUCACAAAUGUAGAACCUUAACUAGCAGAGAAGUGUAAUGUCUUGCUGGAAGUCAGGUCUUUGAGAAGGCAAUGCAGGGCUCGAUUCCGGAACUUUCAGGCAACGAAUGUGCACAGUCUCCGUGUGGAGUGGUUCUCAAACCAGGGGACUAACGGAAGGGUGGCCGGCAAUCCCUGGAUCCUGUGAUGCGUGUUCAAGUGGUGCCACAGGCUGCCAGCGCUCAGAGCUGUGCUUUCGUCAUCACUGGAAACAGGCUUCUCUGAAUAUGUGCAAAGAUGAGAAACUUCAGGAGGCUUUGAAGAGCUUGGAGUCACCGUUAGCACAAAGAGAUGGGCAAUUGCGGCUGGCUGUGGUGGUACAGGCUGGAACCCUACCACUGGGGAAGCUGAGGCAGGAGGAUUGGAUGUUGAAGGUCAGCCCAGGCUGUAUUCUAAGAUCGAGGCAGCCUGAAGUACAGAGAGACCCUAUCCUCCCCCAAAAAAGAUGAUCAAAUGAGGCAUACAGUCUUUAAUUAAAAAGUUUGCUGUAAUAGCAUAUUUAAAAUAUAAUAUGCUAUCAUUAUGAUGCGUGAGUGUAAAAUGAUUGGUACUGUAGGCUCACAAAAGUGGUUUAAGUGAUACGAAGCGAUUUGUGGCUUGUUCAAGUAAUUGCUUUGAAGGAUGUGGUGGACAUUUACAUGUAUAAAUGCUGGUGUGAUAUUCAAAACGGUUCUGUUCUUUUUUCACACUGCACUUUCUUUUUUCAAAUUUUUGUUUUUAUUAGUACAAGUUGCAGUGCAUCGUGAUUACACUCAUUGUAGGGAGUUGGUGGAUGCACGUAACACAUCUUCGUGCUCUUUGCUUUCCCUUCGUCUCCCUUCCCUCCUCUCUGGGUCCUCUUCCCAUUUGAGGAAGUUCUGCCUCCCUGCUUCCUAUUAUCUCUCUCGUACUUUGCUCUUUAUUUGUCCUUUGGGUUUCUCAUGUUGGAGAAACCAGGCAGGAUUUAAGCCUGUGCUUCUGACUUAUUUCACUCCACACUAUGGUCUCAAGGUGCAUCCGUUUCCCUACAAAAGACUCGUUUGUCUCGCUUAUGGCAGAGUAGUGCUCUGCCGUGUGUAAAGACCACAUUUUCUUAUCUACUGUUCUGUUGAUGGAUGUAGGCAUUUCUCCUUUCAAAGACAGACGCUGUAUCUAUCAGUUAUAAAGGCAUUCUGAAAUUAAAGCAUGCCAUUUAGAGUGUCCGUACUUAGACCAUUAAGUUACCUUUGUACUGUACUGGAAGAACAACUGCAAUGCCACUUCUGCCAUAGACGUGUGCCUCUCACUGCUACUCCUAGGCAAGGACAAUCGGUCUAGAGGAUGAAGGGCCGCAGUUCCCCCUGUUGAGAUACAAAUGGUGAAGGGGGAUCUGCUCCAGUUGAGCCCAGCCUGGUCACGUGUGCGUGGGUGCGUGUAGGUGGGACAGCCGGCAGCGCCCCUGGGAGUCAGCGCUGUGGCUGGGCAGGGCUCUCGAUGCGGGAGGGCCCCGCUGCUGUCCAGUGUCUGCCUUGGCCAAGGCUCUGCCCGCGACACCACGUUGUCACCCGCUGGACACCCACUCCCGGUCUGAUUAAGCUCCGUACCCAGCCGUUUACCGGGCAGAGGCACAGGGCCUUUCUCCUGCGACCGCCGUCAGAGUCCACUUCCUCUUUCUCCCCCUGCUGUCCACCCUGUCGGGCCUGAAGCCGCCCAUCGGGAGCGCACGCGCCUGCCCAGCCUGGGUUUGGGCCAGGGUUCUAGUGCUUUCCAGAUUUCUUGCACUUUCUAGUGCAAAUGCGUUUCUGGGUCUUCUUUAUGCUUUUUCUCCCCCUCUUCUCUUCUGCUUCCCUCCCUUCACUUUUUGGAGGCAGGAUUUCACUCUGGAGACCAGGCUGGGCUUGAGCUCUCGAUCUUCCACCCCUGCCUCCGGGUGCUGGGAUGAGGUUCGGGAAACCCAGGAGCGUUUGUGUCCGCAGCGGUGGGAAGGACGAUGAGCAUCGUCUUCCGAGCGCAGCUGCCCUUGAAGCUGCUGCUCUGCCGUCUGACCCCUGGGGCGCCUCCCCGCGGGGCCUGCCCGUUGGGUCGCCCUCUGCCCGCGGCUGGGCCGGUCCGCGGCCUCGCACCCCGCCGCGCACGGGUCCUUCCCCGGGCCGGGUCGCACAGCUCCUGCGACACACUUUCAAACCGGCCCCGCCGUCCGUUACGUCUCGAGACCUCUCGUAAUGAAAGUACUCGGUUCAGAACAGGAAUAAUAAUGUGAAGCAAAUGAAAACGAAGGCGUCUAGGCAAGGUUUGCGGUAGAAGGCGUGCACCGUCCGGCCUGGCGCUUUCCAAUUUCAGUCCCCACCAUAGCGGAAACUACAGGGUUCCUUUUGGACAGCUGCAAGCGUUGGGAAGCUCAGAGCAGGCGAGUCCCUGCAGCUGUGGAGGGUGCAGAGUGGGCAGGAUUUUCCGGAGAAAAAAAGGGCGGGCGGCUCCUCAGUCGGCAGGAGUGGGUUCUGCACCGGGUGGGAGGUGAGGCCCAGUCCAGCCCCGACCCCUGAGGAGAGGCCGGGCCCUCCGCUUGGGCUGGGGGGGACGCACCCGCCCCGCCCCUCAGACCGGGCCUUGAGGACACCCGGCCGAGCUUCGAGCUUCGCAGCCUCCUCGCUCAGCGGCCGGCGCAACGCCCUGCCCGCCCUGCCCGACAUCCGGGGCG
ensembl:lncRNA